UACGUAGGGUGCAAGCGUUGUCCGGAAUUAUUGGGCGUAAAGAGCUCGUAGGUGGCCUGUCGCGUCGGCUGUGAAAACUCGGGGCUCAACUCCGAGCUUGCAGUCGAUACGGGCAGGCUAGAGUUCGGCAGGGGAGACUGGAAUUCCUGGUGUAGCGGUGAAAUGCGCAGAUAUCAGGAGGAACACCGGUGGCGAAGGCGGGGUCUCUGGGGCCGAUACUGACACUGAGGAGCGAAAGCGUGGGGAGCAACGG
rnacentral:rRNA from 1 species